UACUGAAACUGUGCUCGUGGUGU
rnacentral:miRNA from 1 species